rnacentral:rRNA from 1 species
GACGAACGCUGGCGGCGUGCUUAACACAUGCAAGUCGAGCGGAAAGGCCCUUCGGGGUACUCGAGCGGCGAACGGGUGAGUAACACGUGAGUAAUCUGCCCUUGGCUUUGGGAUAACUACCGGAAACGGUGGCUAAUACCGGACACGACAACCGUCUGCAUGGGCUGGUUGUGGAAAGUUUUUUCGGCCAAGGAGGGGCUCGCGGGCUGUCAGCUUGUUGGGGGGGUAAUGGCAUACCAAGGCUUCGACGGGUAGCCGGCCUGAGAGGGUGACCGGCCAAAAUGGGACUGAGACACGGACCAGAGUCCGACGGGAGGCAGCAGUGGGGAAUAUUGGAAAAUGGGCGGAAGCCUGAUCCAGCAGCGCCGCGGGAGGGAUGACGGUCUUCGGGUUGUAAACCUCUUUCAGUACCGACGAAGCGUCGAUGAUGGUGGUGACGGUAGGUACAGAAGAAGCACCGGCCAACUACGUG